AUUGAACGCUGGCGGCAUGCCUUACACAUGCAAGUCGAACGGCAGCACGGACUUCGGUCUGGUGGCGAGUGGCGAACGGGUGAGUAAUAUAUCGGAACAUACCCUAGAGUGGGGGAUAACGUAGCGAAAGUUACGCUAAUACCGCAUACGAACUAAGGUUGAAAGCGGGGGAUCUUCGGACCUCGUGCUCAUGGAGUGGCCGAUAUCUGAUUAGCUAGUUGGUGAGGUAAAGGCUCACCAAGGCAACGAUCAGUAGCUGGUUUGAGAGAACGACCAGCCACACUGGAACUGAGACACGGUCCAGACUCCUACGGGAGGCAGCAGUGGGGAAUUUUGGACAAUGGGCGCAAGCCUGAUCCAGCAAUGCCGCGUGAGUGAAGAAGGCCUUCGGUUGUAAGACUCUUUGUCUAGGAAGAGACGGUGAGUCCUAAUAU
rnacentral:rRNA from 1 species